rnacentral:lncRNA from 1 species
GUGUGUUUAUUGCUUUUAAAGUUUUGAUUAUGCAAUUUUAUAUUUGUCUUUUGCAGAAUUUGUAUUCACUGGUUUUUUUUACUGCUUCCAAGUGAGUUGACAUGUAGGAAGUCUGCAUUUAUGAUGUAAGCAUUCAAAUAUUAUAUUAUUGUUACUGACACUUUAAUAUUUUUUAGUCACAUGAAGUGAUAUGAAAGCUAUUUAAAG